AUUGAACGCUGGCGGCAUGCCUUACACAUGCAAGUCGAACGGCAGCACGGGUGCUUGCACCUGGUGGCGAGUGGCGAACGGGUGAGUAAUACAUCGGAACAUGUCCUGUAGUGGGGGAUAGCCCGGCGAAAGCCGGAUUAAUACCGCAUACGAUCUACGGAUGAAAGCGGGGGACCUUCGGGCCUCGCGCUAUAGGGUUGGCCGAUGGCUGAUUAGCUAGUUGGUGGGGUAAAGGCCUACCAAGGCGACGAUCAGUAGCUGGUCUGAGAGGACGACCAGCCACACUGGGACUGAGACACGGCCCAGACUCCCACGGGAGGCAGCAGUGGGGAAUUUUGGACAAUGGGCGAAAGCCUGAUCCAGCAAUGCCGCGUGUGUGAAGAAGGCCUUCGGGUUGUAAAGCACUUUUGUCCGGAAAGAAAUCCUUGGCUCUAAUACAGUCGGGGGAUGACGGUACCGGAAGAAUAAGCACCGGCUAACUACGUG
rnacentral:rRNA from 1 species